UACGUAGGGUGCAAGCGUUGUCCGGAAUUAUUGGGCGUAAAGAGCUCGUAGGCGGUUUGUCGCGUCUGCUGUGAAAACCCGAGGCUCAACCUCGGGCCUGCAGUGGGUACGGGCGAGACUAGAGUGCGGUAGGGGAGAUUGGAAUUCCUGGUGUAGCGGUGGAAUGCGCAGAUAUCAGGAGGAACACCAAUGGCGAAGGCAGAUCUCUGGGCCGUGAACUGACGCUGGAGGAGCGAAAGCAUGGGGAGCGAACAGG
rnacentral:rRNA from 1 species